UGCUAUGACAGCUCAGUUGGUAGAGUGUGAGACUCGUAAUCUCAGAGUUGUGGGUUUGAGUCCCAAGUUGGGCAG